GGCCACGUGGCCGAAUGGUUAGGCGCGGGUCUGCAAAACCCUUUAAUCCGGUUCGAUUCCGGACGUGGCCUCCA
rnacentral:tRNA from 3 species